rnacentral:rRNA from 1 species
AAGCUGGAAUCGCUAGUAAUCGCGGAUCAGAAUGCCGCGGUGAAUACGUUCCCGGGUCUUGUACACACCGCCCGUCACACCAUGGGAGCCGGGAAUGCCCGAAGUCAGUGGCCCAACCGCAGGGAGGGAGCUGCCGAAGGCAGGCCCGGUGACUGGGGUGAAGUCGUAACAAGGUACC